rnacentral:lncRNA from 10 species
GAGAACGUCUAUGGCAUGUAUUUUGCUGUGCCAGGGCCACAGUUGAGAGAGUAAACAGGAGCCAGUCUCGAUGCUCUGCCUCCCAAGCUGUGUGCCUGGGCGGUUUGGGAGCGAUGUUCUCCUGCAGGAAGAGUUAUUUAACAGGAUGAAGGAAAAGGAAAGCUGUUGUUAGAAGCUGCAGCAACUAGCAAUCUAUGCUGAAAAUGACCAGCACAGAGUGGUCUUGUAUUUCAGCCACUCCAGGAGAUUCCAGAUGUUGGAGCAGAUUUCUGGGAUUCUUAAUGACCACUGCCUCAAGAUAUCUGCAAUGGAUACUGUUCUAACUUUGUGGGACAUGGGGGCAUCAGCAGCUUGGGGAGAGGACUGUACUGCUUAGAAUGAAUCCCACAGCAGCACAAGGAACCAGACUGAGACAAGUGUAAGAAUAAGAAUUAAUUCUCCCCUAAGCCACGAGGGGGCCAGUGGUAGAAAGGCCCUCAGAGCUGGUUGGUUCAGAGGUGAAUCAAAUUCCUAGGUUACUUCCAGCCCUCUGCUCGGCUACACGCCAUGAUGGCCCAUCUUCAUGCUGGAAGAGGAUGGCUUUGUAGUCCCUGGAGUUCGUGCACACUUGGUGACUCCCGAAGGAAGAAGAGGACUGUCAUCAUAUAGCUCUGGAAGGAACCAUCCCCAGAAACCCCUCAGCAGGCUCCUUUUGUAUUGAUCAGAAUCAGCAAAACCUUGUGGGUGGGCUGGUGGGGGUCGGAGGUGCGUUGGCUUUCUCGGAGGUGGGCGGUGGUAGGGGGAAUGGAUCCCUGAACACAACCUAGAAGCUGGAAGGAAAACACAGGGAACCCAUAAAACCCCCCAUAAGAGCAGACCGAGACUUUGCUGUGGAAGAUUCCUAUCCCAAAGCUAAUAGCAUCAGUGCACUUGAUUUCCAUCUCGUUCUCACAGCCUUUUAUGAACAUCACUGAAAAGGCUGGGCAAGACGAAACCUGUGAAGAAGGAAGAUCUCCAUGGCUGCCCUUAGCGUGGAAUGUGUUCUUCACACCCUUACAAACAGCUUUCAAGUGUUCAGCCUGUGGAGUUGAAGCAGAAGAUCGGAAACCAGAGAAAAGUAUGCAGAAGAAAAUAAAAUUCAUCAAUAAUUGUACCAACCAGAGGUAACAAUUUUGGUUAUCUGUGGUCUGUUUGCUUUGAUUAUAAAAGUCCUAUCUGUUGUUUUCCAUCAAUCAUCUAUCUACAUAAACAAAAUUGGGAUCAUACAUUUAGCCAUAGGCCGCCAAUAUCAUUCCCUGCUGAUAUGUAAAAAUUUUAAAAACCAUGUGUGCAAUUUUCCAUCAGAUGGGUGCACCACUAAGCAUUCUGUAUGCCUUGUCCAAUCUUAAAGGGACUAGGGUCACCUUGGAACUUUGCACUGUCUGAUGUCAAACUUCAUUAUGCUCCAGGUCAGGCAUCAUAAAAUUAAUAAAUUCAAAGUUUGGGAAAACAGGGAAAAACAAUGCCCUAAUCCAUUUUCAUUUUUAUUUCCCACUGGCCUUUGUCCAAAUGCAUAAAUAUUCUAACAUGAUUACAAUCAUAAUGUACAUUUGCAUCUUAUUAUAUUGUAAACAUUUUAAAGCUGAUUAAUGAUUUUCUUUUUUUUUUUCCGAGAUGGAGUCUUGCUCUGUCACCCAGGCUGGAGUGCAAUGGUGCAAUCUCGGCUCACUGCAACUUCUGCUUCCCGGGUUCAAGUGAUUCUUGUGCCUCAGCCUGCCAAGUAGCUGGGAUUACAGGUGCGCGCCACCAUGCCAGGCUAAUUUUUGUAUUUUCAGUAGAGAUGGGGUUUCACCACAUUGCCCACACUGGUCUGAACUCCUGACCUCAGGUAAUCCACCUGCCUCAGCCUCCCAAAGUGCUGGGAUUACAGGCGUGAGCCACUGUGCCUGGCCUUGAGUUUCAUAAUUUUUAAUGACUGGGUAAUAGUCCUCUCAGUAGACAUAAUUAUUUAAUUUGUCAUUAUCCUAUUGUUACUUUUUUUGAAAUUAUGAAUAAUUCUGCGAUGACUGUCUUCAUCAUGAUAGCUUUAUCCUUCAUUUGGACUACUUCCUUAGAUAAAGUCUCAGCAGGGGGUAAUAGGGUCUGCUUAAACUGUAGCAGUAAUGUAAAUAUCAAUUGCUUGCCUUAGUUUCUGGGAGUGGAUUUACAUUCAGUCUGUUAUUGAGUACCUUUAAAAAAAACUUUUUUUUUUUUUUUUCAGAGGCAGGGUCUAUCUGUGUCACUCAGGCUGGAAUGCAGUGGUGUGCCCGUAGCUCACUGCUGCCUCAAACUCCUGGGCUCGUGCAAUCCUCCCGCCUCAGCCUCCUGAGUAGCUGGGGCUACAGGUGCAUGCCACCUCACCUGGCUAAUUAUUUUAUUCUAUUUUUGUAGAGAUGGGGUCUUGCUUUGUUGCCCAGGCUGGUCUUGAACUCCUGGCUUCAAGGGAUCCUCUGGUUUCAGCCUCCCAAAGUGCUGGAAUUACAGGCAUAAGGCACCAUGCCCAGCCUGUUAUUGAGUAUUUUUUAAAUUGAACUUCACUCUUAUUAAUAGAAAACAUGUUGACUUUGAUAGUAGCAUAAUUUGGACAAGAAUUAAGCAGAUUUUAAAUGAGACACUGCUUGAUUUGUGUAGAGGUAUUUUUGAGUAAAUGCUUCUUUUUUCCCUGUAAUUCAUCCACACGCAACUAGAAACUUGAGAGGAUGAAGAAGCAUUCAUGGAAAACUAACAAUGUUAGUUUUUAAGGCACGCAAUUGAUAUUUACAUUACUGCUAGAGUUUAGGCAGACCCUAUUACCCCCUGCUAAGAGUUUAUCUAAGGAAAUAGUCCAAAUGAAAGAUAAAGCUAUCAUCCUAAAGAUGUUCAUUGCAAAAAAACAAUUAACUAUGAUGAUUAGCAUCGUACCUGGCAGAGCCUCUUCACAUUUGUGGAUUUCAGUGGCUAUGUGAGUUUUGAAAGACCAGUAUCUUUUUUUUUUUUGGAGAUGGAGUCGCACUCUGUCGCCCAGGCUGGAGUGCAGUGGCACUAUCUUGGCUCAUUGCAACCUCUGCCUCCCAGGUUCAAGUGAUUCUCCUGCUUCAGCCUGCCAAGUAGCUGAGACUACAGGUGUGCACUGCCACACCCGGCUAAUUUUUGUAUUUUUAGUAGAGACGGGUGUUCACCAUGUUGGCCAGGCUGGUCUCAAAAUACUGACCUCAGGUGAUCCACCCACCUUGGCCUCCCAAAUUGCUGGGAUUACAGGCAUGAGCCACCACGCCUGGCCAAGACCAGUAUCUGUUUUAUGUGUGUCUUUGAUAUGUGUGGAAAUGAGGAAAUUCAAGAAGUAAAUGGCAGGACCAUGAAAAUUCUUCCUUAGUUUCUACUUAAACAAAUUUAGAUUCAGCACAGUAUUUAGUAAACGGUGCAUGAUGGCAGGAGUCUAAAAGCUAACCUACAUUAGCUCAGAAGGUGUGGUCCACAGAAUGGACCUGGAAUGCCUUGGGCUACUGCCCUCAGUUGCAUUCUGUCCUACGAAAGAGCUCAUGGCUCAAGCUUUCCAAAUUAAUAAAUACAGAGUUUCUAAAAAUAUAAAAUAAAUAAGAGCAAAUUGCAACAGUAAAACCUUAAUAUCAACAAUCUGCUGUGGAGACUGAAGAAAUAUAUUCUCCAUCACUGACAUAUACCUCAUUUCUAUUAGCAGACAGUGAGUGAACGCUCAUUGUGAUUGUCAUUACAUUGCAGACUUUUACUACCCACUGUGGAUACUUUUGAAAAAUAUAUCUUGAUUGACUGAUAUUUCUUUCUCUCAUUUACCUCCUCUCCAUACCUAAAGAAGCUAUCCAGGGAAGAAAGAAAACUGGAUGUGUAAUUCUAUUUAAUUUGUUUUAUAUUUAUUCCUCAAAUCACUCGUUUCUUUGAAAUAAAA